CCCCUCUCAGGGUGGCACCUGGAGAGUUUCCAGGACUCUACCAGUCCCCGGGAGGGAGAGUCAAGCGGAGGCCUACCCAUUCCAUUCCUAGAUUGGCAAGUGGCUAGUGAGUGGCAGGCAAUCUGCUACAAGG